GAUGGUAAUUCAGGUUAUUAUUUGUAGUAUUCCAAUUUAAGCUUUGAAAUUUAACUCAAAGCUGUUAAACAUUUAGAAUAUGCACCCAUAUGAAACUGUGGAUUUGCCUGUUCACAUCAAUGGAAUCACACAGUGUGUCCUUUUGUAUCUGGCUUCUCUCACUGAGCAUAGUGUUCUCAAGGUCCAACCAUGUUGUGGCGACUGUCAGUGCUCUGCUCCUUUUAAGGCUGAAUAUAUUCCAGUGUGUGGCGAGACCAUUCAUCCACCGAUUGAGAUGUUGCCACCUUUGGCCAUUGUGAAUCAUGCUGCUGUAGUGAUUCGUGUGUGAGUUUCUGUUUGAACAUCUGUUUCAGUUCUCUCAGGUCCAUCCUAGGAGCAGAAUUGCUGGAUCUUGGUAAAUCUGUGUUCCCACCAGCAACGCACAGGAGUUCCUGUUUCUGCGCAUCCCCACCUAUACUUGUUACACAGUCAACGGAGAAAUCUCUCCAUUGGACCUGACACAGUCAAGGCCCCGGAAGUGUUCUGAAGAGUUGAGGAAACUGAAGCUCAGAGACAGGAAGUGCCUUCCUCCAGCUCCUACAGAAAGAACAAGACCCAGCUGGGGUGGGAGCUGGAAAGGAUUGCUGAGACGAUCAAGGACACGAAUGCGCACGAAUAACAAACCUUGUCAUCAUAACAUAACAUUGUAAGAAGGCAAAACAGGAUCUCCUGAAUCAGAAAAGUGAACUCUCGGACAGUAUUCCUACUGUAUUCGAAUGUCAACAAGCCCUUAUGGAGCGCCUGUGGUGUGCUAGGCUCUGCUGUAGGUAGGUUCUGGAGACGCUGCAGAGAACAAAACGCACGAAAAUCCUCUGACCACGCCCCCAGGUCCUCGCCCCGCCCCCUCUCUUUUCCCAGCCUACCAGAAAGGGGUGGGGGUGAGGCUUACCUACAUAUUCGUGAGUCUAUCAGCCAAUCCGCAGCCUGAAGUCAGGCCUGUCUUUGGAGCAGGGGUGAUUGUGACGUCAGGAGUGACGCAUUCAGUGAUCCUUAAAGGUGCAGUAACCUCCGAUGGAGUAGGGAGUU